GGCCUACCAUGGUGGUAACGGGUAACGGGGAAUUAGGGUUCGAUUCCGGAGAGGGAGCCUGAGAAACGGCUACCACAUCCAAGGAAGGCAGCAGGCGCGCAAAUUACCCAAUCCCGACACGGGGAAGUAGUGACAAUAAAUAACAAUACGGGGCUCUUUCGGGUCUCGUAAUUGGAAUGAGUACAAUUUAAAUCCCUUAACGAGGAACAAUUGGAGGGCAAGUCUGGUGCCAGCAGCCGCGGUAAUUCCAGCUCCAAUAGCGUAUAUUAAAGUUGUUGCAGUUAAAAAGCUCGUAGUUGAAUUUCGGGAUUGACACAUCGGUCGUGCCUUAAGGGGUAUGAACUGGUGUAGUCAAUUUCUCACCUUCUGGAGAACCGCAAUGCCCUUAAUUGGGUGUCGCGGGGAACCAGGACCUUUACUUUGAAAAAAUUAGAGUGUUUAAAGCAGGCAUUUUGCUUGAAUACAUUAGCAUGGAAUAAUAAAAUAGGACGGCAUGAUUCUAUUUUGUUGGUUUCUAGGAUCACCGUAAUGAUUAAUAGGGAUAGUUGGGGGCAUUAGUAUUCAAUUGUCAGAGGUGAAAUUCUUGGAUUUAUUGAAGACUAACUACUGCGAAAGCAUUUGCCAAGGAUGUUUUCAUUAAUCAAGAACGAAAGUUAGGGGAUCGAAGACGAUCAGAUACCGUCGUAGUCUUAACCAUAAACUAUGCCGACUAGGAAUCAGACGAUGUUAAUUUUUUAAUGACUCGUUUGGCACCUUACGGGAAACCAAAGUGUUUGGGUUC
rnacentral:rRNA from 1 species